CAGUCGCGUCUGCUGGGACUCAGCCUUGCUUCUGCUUGGUGCACUUCUCAGUAGAUGGGCCAGCAUCGAUUUUGGUGGUCAUAAAAUGACUGGAGGAAUGUAGCUUCGAUCUCGUAUUGAAGUGUUAUAGCCUUCGGUAGAUGUGAUGACUGAGAUU
rnacentral:rRNA from 1 species